GAUCGCAGUGACAUGGGUGGUUCGCUAUCAGUGAUGUYAUGAGAAGUGCAAUGAACYUUAUCAUUUAGAGGAAGGAGAAGUCAUAACAAGUUUUUUGUAGGUGAACCUGUGGAAGGAUCAUUGUCGAU
rnacentral:rRNA from 1 species